UCCCACUCAGGAUCACAUCUGGAGAGUUUCCAGUCCUCUACCAGACUUGGCUAUGGGAGGGAGAGUCAAGCAGAGGCCUACCCAUUCCAUUCCUAGCUUGGCUGGUGGCUAGCAAGUGGCAGGCCAUCUACUACAAGU